CCCUUAGAGUUUGAUCCUGGCUCAGGAUGAACGCUAGCUACAGGCUUGACACAUGCAAGUCGAGGGGAAACGACAUCGAAAGCUUGCUUUUGAUGGGCGUCGACCGGCGCACGGGUGAGUAACGCGUAUCCAAUCUGCCCAUCACUUGGGGAUAACCUUGCGAAAGUAAGACUAAUACCCAAUGAUAUCUCUAGAAGACAUCUGAAAGGGAUUAAAGAUUCAUCGGUGAUGGAUGGGGAUGCGUCUGAUUAGCUUGUUGGCGGGGUAACGGCCCACCAAGGCGACGAUCAGUAGGGGUUCUGAGAGGAAGGUCCCCCACAUUGGAACUGAGACACGGUCCAAACUCCUACGGGAGGCAGCAGUGAGGAAUAUUGGUCAAUGGGCGAGAGCCUGAACCAGCCAAGUAGCGUGCAGGAAGACGGCCCUAUGGGUUGUAAACUGCUUUUAUAAGGGAAUAAAGUGAGCC
rnacentral:rRNA from 1 species